ACCUCGGAUCAGGUAGGGAUACCCGCUGAACUUAAGCAUAUCAAUAAGCGGAGGAAAAGAAACCAACAGGGAUUGCCCCAGUAACGGCGAGUGAAGCGGCAAGAGCUCAAAUUUGAAAGCUGGCCCCCUCGGGGUCCGCAUUGUAAUUUGCAGAGGAUGCUUCGGGAGUGGCCCCCAUCUAAGUGCUCUGGAACGGGCCGUCAUAGAGGGUGAGAAUCCCGUAUGGGAUGGGGUGUCCGCGACCAUGUGAAGCUCCUUCAACGAGUCGAGUUGUUUGGGAAUGCAGCUCUAAAUGGGUGGUAAAUUUCAUCUAAAGCUAAAUAUUGGCCGGAGACCGAUAGCGCACAAGUAGAGUGAUCGAAAGAUGAAAAGCACUUUGAAAAGAGAGUUAAAAAGCACGUGAAAUUGUUGAAAGGGAAGCGCUUGCGACCAGACUCGCCUGCGGGGUUCAGCCGGUAUUCGUACCGGUGUACUUCCCCGUGGGCGGGCCAGCGUCGGUUUGGGCGGCCGGUCAAAGGCCCUCGGAAUGUAACGCCUCUCGGGGCGUCUUAUAGCCGAGGGUGCCAUGCGGCCAGCCCGGACCG
rnacentral:rRNA from 1 species